rnacentral:rRNA from 1 species
CUACGGGUGGCUGCAGUGGGGAAUUUUGCGCAAUGGGCGAAAGCCUGACGCAGCAACGCCGCGUGGAGGAUGAAGGUCCUCGGAUCGUAAACUCCUGUCAGGGGGGAAGAAAACCUUAACGGGUCUGACUGUACCCUCUGAGGAAGCCACGGCUAACUCCGUGCCAGCAGCCGCGGUAAUACGGAGGUGGCAAGCGUUGUUCGGAAUUACUGGGCGUAAAGGGCGCGUAGGCGGCGUGGCAAGUCAGGUGUGAAAGCCCCGGGCUUAACCUGGGAAUUGCACCUGAAACUGCUGUGCGUGAGUCCUGGAGGGGGUAGUGGAAUUCCCAGUGUAGCGGUGAAAUGCGUAGAUAUUGGGAGGAACACCUGUGGCGAAGGCGGCUACCUGGACAGUGACUGACGCUGAUGCGCGAAAGCUAGGGGAGCAAACGGGAUUAGAUACCCCAGUAGUC